rnacentral:rRNA from 1 species
AACGAACGCUGGCGGCAUGCCUAACACAUGCAAGUCGAACGAGACCUUCGGGUCUAGUGGCGCACGGGUGCGUAACGCGUGGGAACCUGCCCUUAGGUUCGGAAUAACUCCCCGAAAGGGGUGCUAAUACCGGCUAAUGUCCUCGGACCAAAGAUUUGUCGCCUUUGGAUGGGCCCGCGUUGGAUUAGCUAGUUGGUAGGGUAAAAGCCUACCAAGGCGACGAUCCAUAGCUGGUCUGAGAGGAUGAUCAGCCACACUGGGACUGAGACACGGCCCAGACUCCUACGGGAGGCAGCAGUGGGGAAUAUUGGACAAUGGGCGAAAGCCUGAUCCAGCAAUGCCGCGUGAGUGAUGAAGGCCUUAGGGUUGUAAAGCUCUUUUACCCGGGAUGAUAAUGACAGUACCGGGAGAAUAAGCUCCGGCUAACUCCGUG